rnacentral:rRNA from 1 species
AAUAUUGGACAAUGGGUGAAAGCCUGAUCUAGCCAUCCCGCGUGUGCGAUGAUGGACUUAGGGUUGUAAAUCACUUUUGGCAGGAAAGAAUCGGCUCUGGCUACUAUCUGGAGAAACUGACGAUACCUGCAUAAUAAGUACCCGCUAACUACGUGCUCGCCGCCGCGGUAAUACGUAGUGUGCAAGCGUUAAUCGGAAUUACUGGGCGUAAAGCGUGCGCAGGCGGUUCGGAAAGAAAGAUGUGAGAUCCCAGGGCUUAACCUUGGAACUGCAUUUUUAACUACCGGGCUAGAGUGUGUCAGAGGGAAGUGGAAUUCCGCGUGUAGCAGUGAAAUGCGUAGAUAUGCGGAGGAACACCGAUGGCGAAGGCAGCAUCCUGGGAUAACACUGACGCUCAUGCACGAAAGCGUGGGGAGCAAACAGG